UACGUAGGGGUCGAGCGUUGUCCGGAGUUACUGGGCGUAAAGCGCGCGCAGGCGGUCGUUCAAGUCGCGUGUGAAAGCCCCCGGCUCAACUGGGGAGGGUCACGCGAUACUGAUCGACUCGAAGGCAGGAGAGGGUAGUGGAAUUCCCGGUGUAGUGGUGAAAUGCGUAGAUAUCGGGAGGAACACCAGUGGCGAAGGCGACUACCUGGCCUGUUCUUGACGCUGAGGCGCGAAAGCUAGGGGAGCAAACGGG
rnacentral:rRNA from 1 species